GGACUACAGGGGUUUCUAAUCCUGUUUGCUACCCACGCUUUCGUGUUUCAGCGUCAGUUGCGGUCCAGAGAGCCGUCUACACCACCGGUAUUCCUCCUGAUAUCUACGCAUUUCACCGCUACACCAGGAAUUCUACUCUCCCAUCCCGCACUCUAGCCCUCCAGUUUUCGGCGCACCCUCCCGGUUGAGCCGGGAGAUUUCACACCAAACUUAGAGAGCCGCCUACACACCCUUUACGCCCAGUAACUCCGAACAACGCUUGCUGCCUACGUAUUACCGCGGCUGCUGGCAC
rnacentral:rRNA from 1 species